UUUGUUUCUUAUCAACACAAAGGUUUUGACUUCACAAGACAUUAACUGAUGGACUGGAUUGUGAUGUUUUUAUCAGCUGUUUGGACUCUCAUUCUGACGGCACCCAUUCACUGCAGAGGAUCCACUGGUGAGCAAGUGAUGGAAUGCUACAUUCUCCAAAUCUAAUGAAGAAACAAACUCAUCUACAUCUUGGAUGGCCUGAGGGCGAGUACAUUUUCAGCAAAUUUUCAUUUUUUCAUGAACUAUUCCUUUAAAUGUAAAGCAGAUAAGUGACAAGGAUAGAUCACGUUUCAACAAACAUUCACAGACGGAUCACUGCAGUUCAGUGACCAGACAAAGCAGUCAACCGGAUAGUGUUCGUAUUCAAUUACAUGCACUUUAAAUGUUGGGAAACCCAAACCGAGGACUUUGUACAGGUUAUAUCCAGAUAAACAUUCUGUCCUUUUAGCAUUAUUUAAACUAUACCUUCAUCAGGCCAUGUAUGCAUUUUUUUUUAGUCAUUCUUACAGUUCAAAAUAUUUGAAAGGAAAGGUUAGACAAUUAUAGACAUAAGGACAGUCUGUCCUCUCCGGUGUGAACAGCACGAGAUUUGGAUUUCCUGUGUGGAGACACUGCUCUAAAGACAAGAGUGGCAUUUGGGAGGACUUGCCCAGGUCGGCUGCAAGUGAGCUGCAUUCUGAUAAGACAUCCUGCGCUGCGCCUGACGGUUGCGGAAUAUGAAUUUCAACAAGAGCAAUGGAGACCAAAAGGUUCGCAACAGUUACCUCAGUGCCUCAGGCUCCUUUUAAAGUUCCUUCUUGCCCAGCUGACCAUAAUACAAACUGUCUUGGCUGCAAUUAUGAAAAAAAACUAUGGAAGCCUGCUUCUGGAAGCCUCGUUUUUCUAACCUCAAUGGUUCAUGGAUUUGCACGUAAACAGGUUAUAAUGAGAUAUUUUUUGUCUGCCAUACAAUAUUUAAAACUGUAUGGCCUGGUUUCACAGACAGGGUUUACGUAAAGCCAGGAUUAGGCCAUAGUUCAAUUAGGACAUUUAAGUAUCUUUUAUAAACGUGCCUUAGAGAAGAACAUUACUGGUGUGCAUCUUGAGACAAAUCAAUAGUACUAUCAUAUUUUAAGAUCAAUCAGUGCAAGUUUCUUACAGUUGAAACAGAACAGACAAGCAUUUUUAGUCCGGGACUAGGCUUAAACCUUGUCUGUGAAACCGGGGGGUAUGUAUUAAUUGAUACAUAUUUUGUAUUUUUAUUUAUUUUAUUUUUUAUUUUCUGUGGCUCUUGUGGUUAUGGAAUUAUGAACUCUAUGAUAAGCUAUGUUUUUUUUUAUGUCACCUGUGGCAUGGGGCUGUGCAUGUAUGUGUCUACAAGGAGAACAACAAAAGAUUGUAAUGUUAGACUGUCAGGGUAGGCGAUUUGGUUAAAAACAUUUUUUGUUAUGCUGGUUGAAAGUCUCUAAACAUGCCGAUAGCAAUCACUAAGUUAAGUUGUCUACAUGUGUUUAUAUUGACUGUGGAAGGUGUAGGACCAUAAAAUGUUCGUCCAAUCAUAUUCCUCGGUUCUUAGGACUACGAUAGGCUGUCCUACCUGCCUUUCAAUGUGUGUAUUUGCAUACCUCUGCGCACCCUGUUCACGCAGUCCUGAAACGUCAUCAGGGCGUUCCAUUACGCUAUUGCAGACCAACUGAGAAUGGAAGGCGUUAUUGUAAUUGUAACAACGUUCGUAGUCACGGGAAGAAGGAGGCGGGAACUGGCGAACAUUUAAACAAAACUUUAAUAUAAUAAACAAACACAAAAUGAAAGUAAAGAGGCAGCCCCUUGCGGACGACUGCCGCACACAAAACACAAAAUAAAGUCCAGGCCUGGUCCUCUCUCGUCUUUCACUGUCGUCACUCCACCUUUUAUACUUCCGGAGCUCCUCCGUGGGAUUCGAGACCGGUGAGUGGUGCAGGUGUCGCUCAUU
rnacentral:lncRNA from 1 species